rnacentral:lncRNA from 1 species
UAUUAGGAGAAAAUUGUACCACAUGUCUAUAGAUGAAUCAAAGAUGAGUCAAUACUGCUUUGUAUUUCAAGAAAACAGAUUUCUGCUGGGAACAUGAAGGAGGCCCUAAGUAGGAAGUUUCAAGUAGGAAGACAGCAUAGACCAUGACUGACCUAAGAGGAACAAAACCAAACAGACUUAGAUUCUAGGGGCCAAUGUGAGUAAGUUAAGAAUUUUGAGGAGCAGCAAACCAUUAAUAUAAAGAAGGAACCAAGAUAGAUUCCCUUAAAUUCUUUGCAGCCUGACCCUCAACACACUGUGAGAAUCUCAAAUGUCCACCUAUGGACUGCCUACCUUAGAUUUACCUCACAGCUGGCAAAAAAGACACAUUCUGGGCUCUUCCUCAGGCUUACUGAAUCAGAAUCCCCAGGGUGGGGGUUGAGGAACCAGGAAAGAUGGUUCUGCCAGGAAGUGGAUUUGGAAAUUGUUGAGUUACAUCGAGCAAGCUUAUAUGACACAGAUAUGGAUCUGUGUUUUGUUUCAUCCUCAACAACACUGCUCUGUAACGUGGGUUCUUUUUCAGUGUACGUGUCUGAUCUUCUUGGUAGAGUUUUUGCAACUAGGGCUUACUUUUCUUUGCCCAUCUUAGCCCCCCUGCACAGUCUUGUACAAAGUAGGGGCUCAGCACAUAUUGGGAGAUUGGUUACACAAGAGGCUUGAAGGCAUCACUUGGAUAUUGCCAGGACCAAAGCCACUAAGGUCAACAGGUCUAAGAGGAGACCUUUCUGUCCCAUUCUAAGCAUUCUUUGUUUGAGAUUUCAAGGCUGGUGUUUGUUUUCAGGGCUCUGACUUGUGACCCAGUGGUCAGGAGCCCUUUGAUGUAUGGGUUCCAGAGGAUGUCCCCAUAGCAGUCCCUUCAUAGGGACCUCUCAGCCCUCUGUGCAGUGCUGGUAGGUAGAGGGGUGACCAAGUGUAGGGGUGGUUUCUAUACCUGGAAGACCCCAUGGAGCUUGUUAACAUGUAGAUAACUGUGCCUCAACCCGGACCCACUGAAUCAAAUUGCUGUCCAGGAAGGGGAAAUUGCUACCCAGAUACUACCCAAAUACUACUCUAGAGUUUGAGGAAUAUGAUCUUCUGCCUGUGUCUGGAGCACAGUGUGUUAUGCUCAUGGGGAUUUACCUGGAUAGGGCUGUGGACUGGGUCUUGGGAGACCUGGGCUCAGUCCUGGUUCUACCCUUUAGUUAGUCUCUACAGGACACUGUGCAAGCCACUCACCUUUCACUUUGCUUCUUUGUAAAGUGAAAGAUUUGGACUAGGGUAGACACCAGCAAUGCAGACAUGAUCACUCAUAUCUGUAGGAGGCUUCUCUAUAAAUCCAGUCAUCGGUUCUAAAGGACCCAGCUCUUCUGUGUGCUCUGAGGACGGAUUUGUCUUCUAAGACUGGGGUUAGCAGCUGUUUAGUAUCAUUGGAGGCCAAGUUGCCUAAGCCCAUGUUCGGAGGUUUGAUGGUUGGUGUGGGAUGGUGGUGACAUUAAACAAGAAGCAUGGGAAGGCCCUGCUCUUUCCUUAUUCACUUGUCCCUUCCUUCUCUCUAUUUUUUUUUCAUAUUACAGUAACUAAGAGUUUUAUGUACACAAGCUCCAUUUAUAAAUUGCAGAUACCUCGUAGGAGUGUGAAAGUCACCAAUUGUUAUUUCUUUCUUUCUUUUUUUUUUUUUUUUUUGCACUGUCUUAUGGUGCUGAUAAAGUCAAAUUAACCAGUUAUUCAUACCCUAGUAUGAAAUACCCAAUUCUAGCCAUUGGAAGACUUUCUGUUUAGCUACUAUCUGUUGCAUUAAAGAAAUUAGAGUGGGUGGAUGAUGGCAUAUGGAUGCUGGGCUCCUGGUUCCUGAGGAAGGGGACAGAGGGGCCCCCCUAAGUAGGGAUGGCAGCCGAAGACAGCCAUUGAUUUGGUGGUUUUGCCAGUACUCUGAUAAUGGCGCUAUCACCAUCACUUUUGAUGUUUUUGGUAGAAAUUCCCUAAACUAGUGAUGCUUCAUUUAAACCAUCUUUGGGUGAGAUUAUUAUCAUCCUAUCUGAUUCUGUUAAAGACUCUGGGUAUCAAUCAUAUUGAUUGCCCAGGGACUGGCUAAGGCUUUGGUUACUAUGCUUCUACCUUUUCAUGGGAGCUUAACUCUCAGUUUGCCCCCAGAUAUUGUUAUUUAUUGAACUCUCACUUAGGUCGCAUAAUUGCUGUACCAUUCAGGUCAGUGCUGUGCAAUAUCGUGGGGGAAGAAGCAAUUUCUUUGCUCUUGAUUCUUUGUGCUCUCUCUCCUUUUCCCCUAGUAUAUCCCUUCCUAGCCCAUGUAUUCUACAUGCUUUAUGCAUGCAGAUUUACUUGCAUUUACUUGUAUUUAGUUGCAAUUAUAGUUUUUCCUUUUUCUUUGGUACAACAAAAUUAACGAAGGAACAGAGAAUCCUUAGGCAUAAUUUGUGUGUUUCUGUAGUCUCUGCCCCAUUGUCUGGAAAACCACAGACUUCAUUUAGAUGCCAAUGAAUCCGUCAUCAGGCUUUGAGUAAACCAUGCAUUUACCAAGAUCCUUACUUGAGCAGUGAUUUAGCUUUUUAAUCUUUUGUUUAUAAUUUUACAGUUGCUGAGACAAAGGAAAACCCACUCCCUUGGAGGAGCAUGACCUUUUCCUGUAAUUCUUCCCACUGCUGUUGUUGAGCUCCUUGGAUCCUGGCUCCUGGACACCAUCAUCAAGAAGACUUUAUGGAUGGGCUGUCCACCCACUGAGAGAAGAGGAGCAUCAGCUACAGUUUCUCUCUAGAUUGCCUUCUUCAUUUUGAGUAAUGACUGUCAGCAGGGUCAGAUUAAACACAAAACAACUGGACAAUUGCUUGGAGGACUAAACUAUAAGGGCACUAACAUGUCAAUAGUAGGCUAACACAUCCAUGGAAAAUAUAUUUACCAGCUCUUCUCUCAGGGAGGAUUCUGUGUGGGGUUGGAAGUAAUGAUUUGUUAAAUUCCUUAGGGGUAGAAAGUAGGGCAUAAUCAGAAUAUAGAGGAAUAUGCUGUUUGACUUCAGGGUUUCUGUUUUUCUUACUAGGAUAUAUAAAACAGGGACUCUAGCUAGAUUGUUUAUGACCACAGAGGGUAGGCUGAGUGCUCCCAUGAUCUUCCUGCUUGGUUCUUGCCCAUACAGAGGUCAGCCUUUCCUCUAAUAAAGAUUGAACAAGUAGUGGUCUGAGGGAGACACCAAUUCAUUACCCUACAUGUCUCUUCUCUGCACUCCAGGGCUUUGAUAAUAAAGACACUGGCAGACUAUCUAUCUUCCAUUUCUAUAAUGUGAGCCCUUAGGGAGUCUUCGUUCACUUGGGGGUGAGGGUCAUUGCUCACAGAGUAGUUCAAGUCAAAUGGAACUUGAACUCUUUGCCUAUGGGCCUGGUGGUCAGACUCUGUGUUGAGUUCAUUAGAUUAUUGGAGACACAAGGUAGAGCUGGAUGCUUCAAAAAUAUUUGGCUAAAGGAUGACAUUGCUGGUUAUUUGUAGAUAAAGCCAUGAUGGAACCUGCUUGGAAUCAUGAAAUAUGGAACUGGUGGUCAUGUUUAAAAAUACAACUAAUAGUUAAGUACCUACUGGACACUGUAGAGACUUAGGGGCUAGACAGACAUGGUUCCUGCCCCCUUGGAGCUUACACUGUAGCUUCCCCUUAGGUAUGAAGAACAGUGGCUACAACUAACAAAUGGCCACAAAGAUAUAAUUGAGCCAGUGUUCCAAUUAUUAGGGUAAUUCCUAUUUCCUUAAUCAUUCCUAUUGACCAUGUUCUAUAAGCCUGCAUUCUAUAAAUGGCGUAUGACCAUGGGCUGUUUCCCCCCAGCAAGUUGUACAAAGUUCUGUGGUACCAGGGAAAGGGCUUAAGGUUAGCAGGGCCUCUGCGGAAGGACAUAUGAAGUGACUUGGGUUAGGAAACAGGAAGGGAUAGGAUUCAAGAACAGCUAUUGCUUCUGUUCUAUAUAGGAAACUGCAGCGUGAAAAAUGCUGGGCUGGGAAUUUUGAGACCUGGGUUUUAGUUUGUGUUCUAAUACUAACAAGCUAUGUGACUGUGGGUAAGUCAUUUCACAUUCCAUUUGGAUGCCUCUUGAGUGACUCCAGGCCUCUCCAGCUCUAAAACAUUAAGAUCAGGCCCUACGCUACAGCUGGCCAGUGUGUAAUUCUUCUGUUUCUAUGCUGUUAGGUCAAAUAGAUCUUCAAUAGUUACUUGAUUGUUAUUACUUUUUUCUGAAGUGGGUGUUUUAUCAAUGUUUUAGGAUACAGUGAGUCUGCUUCUCCCCUUUGGAGUUAGGAAGGUUGUAGGAAUAUACACUGUAGAGCAUAUGGGAGCUUUAUCCCCUCCUUUUUUCCCCGCUACCUUUCUCCCUCUCCUUCCCUUCAUCACAUUUCUAUUGAGCAUAUGCCAUUGCCGUGUACCAGGUGUGUGCUAGGUUUGGAGAUACAAGGUAAACCUGAGACUUUCCCAGUCUCCAGGAGACAAAACCCUAAUUUCUUUCAUCUGCUGUCUUUCUCUUUGGAAAGAAUCAACGAUAUCCCAGGGGAAUGUGCCCAUGUCCCAGGGUAACCAACUACAGACAGAUGCCCCAUUCUACUCAAGCAACUUUUAGAGUGCCUUGAGAUACACAUCAGAUAAUUAUGCAGGGCCAGGCAUGGUGCUGCACACUUGUAAUCACAGCACUUUGGGAGGCCGAGGCAGCAGAUUGCUUGAGCCCAGGAAUUCAAGUGUAGCCUAGGGAACAUGGCAAAACCCCAGCUCUACAAAAAAAUACACAAAUUAGCUGCGUGUGGUGGCCUAUGACAGGAGGCUGAGAUGGGAGGAUUGCUUGAGCCUGUGAGGUCGAGGCUGCAGUGAGCCGAGAUCAUGCCAUUACUCCAGCCUGGGUGACAUAGGGAGACCCUGUCUUGAAAAAAAAAAAAAAAAGAUAAUUAUUCAGCCCUAGAGUCAUUGUGAAAAGAUCUAUCUUCAGAUAUAAGGAAGAAACAAUCUUUUAUUUCUUAGGAUAAAUCUGUAGAAGGACCUCCAGACAGUGAAGGCCACUGACUACUUUAUACUCUGUAAGCCAUCCCUCCCUGGUAGGAAGGACUAUUUCCAAUCUUACAGAGUACCUCUCAGCAAAUAGACGUUUUCACAUAUACUGUGAUUCAUACAUCCCUAUGGCUGGUGACCUCUUUAAAAAGGAAAGGAAAAAGCCUAAUCAAACAAAAAGAUGCUGCUAGUAAUUCUUACCCUAUUGUGAAUCCUAUAUAAGCAAAUUUGUAUCUUUGUUUUUUCCUACAUUAGCAGAUCUAUUUGAUGUAUAUCUCUGAGUGCAGAAAAUAUUUUAUGGAAAAAUCAAUAUAUGGAAUUUCAAAUUCAGAAUUGCUGAUACACACUAUUUGGUUUCACAAUUUUAUCCUAGGAAAUAGUAUUAGAGAUUUCAAUUUCUGGCUUAAAUGGUAGAAUUAAUUACUCUUAACUCUUAAUUUUACUUCUGAGUUGAGGUCAAGGAACAGGCAGACACCUGCAGUUAACGUCUAUACCUCUCCAUGGCCAAGAGUUUUAAUUUUCUCGUCUUCAAUUUUGUAGAUGUUCAUCAUUACUAAAUGGAUUGAUUAGUAUUUUAUCUCCUCUCCUUGUCCUUACUUUCCCUCUGGUAAAUAUGUUAUAAACAGUGUAAGGCUCCUAAGAUAGAGUAGCUGGUAGGACUUAGAAGAGAAACAAAGGGCACUGAUAACUCACAUAAAUGGAAAAUUGGCUCUGGAAUAACUGACAACAUAUUCAAGUAUUUUAGUGCAGUGUCACUCUCAUUAAGAAGAAGAGAAUCAGUAAAUCUAUGUGACUCUAAACAUUCUAAUGAAAAAAGGAAUAUUCUGCCAAUUAUCUCACAUUUCUAAAUAUCUGGAUAUUGGCCAUUGUAAAGACAAAACAUACAGAUGAUGGACUUGUCUUUCCACCUCUCAUUUGCAUGGUUUGGAGCAUUGUACCUCCAGCCAUAGACUCUAAGGCAAUUUAUAUUUGCUUCCUCUUCCCUCUUGAGAGAAAACGAAAAUCUUAUUUUUCCAAGCAAUUAAAACUCUUCUGCUUCAGCUAGGAUGAAAGAAUUAGGAGUUCUGUCUCCUUGUAUCUAAUUGCAUGUUUCAUCUUUCUUGUUUUAAUGAUUGACAGAAAACUAAUAAACUGAGACAUCUUUGAAUCCAGGUUGAAUGUACUCUCUUGGUGGCCCCAUUGCUAAUUUGUUUGACUAUUUUGCAGGAUUUCUUACUCUGUAAUGGAAAGGUUUAUUAAAUAUGAGGGGUGCAAAGCUUUCUGAAUACUAAUGAACUUAUUUGCCAAAAUUUAAAUGUUCUUCUUGUCAGUGAAUGUCUGUCUCUCUUAACAGGAUCCAAAUUGAAUAAUGAAGAAAAUUAGACUCUAUUGUACCCUCAGGAGAAAUCGUGGUGAAUCGUAAUAGAAUACAGAGGGGGAAAGGGGUCACAUUUUAGAAAAAAAGAGUAGAUAAUUUGGAUUAUUAAAAAAGGGAUUAACUCAGGAAAACUCUGUUCUUUUCAAAGAAACGUACUCAUAGUCAUUCAAUGAGCAGGAUUUCCCACUGCACAAGCAUCUAUACCUUUGGCCAGUGUAGAAAGAGAGUAAGGUCAUAAUCAUAUGGAGAUGCAUGCUAGGUUUCAGUAGUUACAAUUUACUAAUCUCAUUCCCAUAUAAGGCCUUUAUAUGCCUGUAAUGGAAUGGGAAAAUCAAUAAGCUUUGAAAAGGAACACUAUUCUUCAGAGAAGUUCAAUGGGAGAUAGUUGAGUUGGGGAAAUUGCCCCAGUUCUUCCUUUAAGCAUGAAAUGAGGCUGUCCCUAUGUAUGUUUACUUCCAUUGCCUUGGUGUUAUCACUGAUAAAGUCAAUGAUCAUGAUGCCUUUGCCUUGGCAGCACCUGGGGGGCACUGAAGGAACCAAGUAGCUGUACUCAUGGCCAGGAAGGCAGGCUGCCAGAACUUCAGCAGCCACACAAGUGGCCAAACAUGGUCAGGAACGAAAGUAGUGUGUGUAUGGAGUGAAAUGAAAUGAUGAGAGGAAAGUGAAGGAUGAUAUAAAGAUGGGGCUGUCCAAAGAUGGGAGUUCAUCCCUGUCCUGCACUUGAAAUAGGAAGGAAAGAACUGGAGAAGGAUUAGGUGAGGAAGGAUCCUGAAAUAGAGAAAAUAAAGGGAAGACUGCAUGCCUGCAGUGUUUGCUAAAAUUAAUUCGCCUGAGAUUUCAGGAGGAGCAAAGAAAGAUCAAGAGAAAGGGAAAACAGCCUCAAAGCCUGUGAAGGUUGAAAAACAAAAUAUAAACAAAAAAUUUUUAAAGCUAAGAUUAUGCUCUUCUAAGAAAAGAGGCUGGACACUAACAGAAAGCUUGAUGACAGCAGGAUUUGUAUUUAGCGGUUUAUUUAGAUCCCUAAGAAAAAAGGCUUAUGUGACAUAGAUUCAUAAGACACAAAUGUGUCCUUGGCUGACCAUACUAGGCUUCACUCCCAAAGGAGAAAAAGAAUGGUCGGCGCAUCUCAGAUUAACACCAACCAACUGUGCAAUAUUUCAUUUUAGAAAGCGUUUCCUUGUAUUAUCCAUGAUUAAAUAAAAAGAGACCUAGUGUAUUUGAUUGCUUCUGUGGCAAGGCUUGAGAAUUACAAACCUAGGUUUCCCUCUGGGAAUGAUCAUUGGAUUUUUAAAAUUAAGUAAGUGGAAGGAGAUUAAGAUUUAUUUCCAUCAUUUCAAAUCAUGAUCUGCACCUUUGGAAACAAAAAGGAAGUUGGAAAGUGGGAAGGUGAGGAUGAAGAAGAUUUAUUUCAAUAAGUCUCAAGAGGUAUUAUGCAAUAUGUAAGUACUUGCAAGAAUCUGCUUAGCCACCUCCAAAAAAAAUUAUUCCUUUUGAUAGAUCAUUUGCUUUCAGAGUGAACUUCCUUCCCUUUUCCAAACACAAACAUGAUCAUAUCGGCGAGUUGAUACCAAAGUUGCUGAAUUUAUAAUGCACACACUUAUUUAUUAUUAAAGCCAAUGUGUAAAUAAAAUCUCCGCUUGGUUGGAAACAAAUUUAAUAGGAAACAUGUGAAAG